CCUACGGGGUGCAGCAGUGGGGAAUAUUGCACAAUGGGCGCAAGCCUGAUGCAGCCAUGCCGCGUGUAUGAAGAUGGCCUUCGGGUUGUAAAGUACUUUCAGCGGGGGGGAAGGUGUUGUGGUUAAUAACCACAGCAAUUGACGUUACCCGCAGAAGAAGCACCGGCUAACUCCGUGCCAGCAGCCGCGGUAAUACGGAGGGUGCAAGCGUUAAUCGGAAUUACUGGGCGUAAAGCGCACGCAGGCGGUCUGUCAAGUCGGAUGUGAAAUCCCCGGGCUCAACCUGGAACUGCAUUCGAAACUGGCAGGCUAGAGUCUUGUAGAGGGGGGUAGAAUUCCAGGUGUAGCGGUGAAAUGCGUAGAGAUCUGGAGGAAUACCGGUGGCGAGGGCGGCCCCCUGGACAAAGACUGACGCUCAGGUGCGAAAGCGUAGGGAGCAAACAGGAUUAGAUACCCUGGUAGUC
rnacentral:rRNA from 1 species